rnacentral:rRNA from 1 species
UACGAAGGGGGCUAGCGUUGCUCGGAAUCACUGGGCGUAAAGGGUGCGUAGGCGGGUUUUUAAGUCAGGGGUGAAAUCCUGGAGCUCAACUCCAGAAGCGCCUUUGAUACUGAAGAUCUUGAGUCCGGGAGAGGUGAGUGGAACUGCGAGUGUAGAGGUGAAAUUCGUAGAUAUUCGCAAGAACACCAGUGGCGAAGGCGGCUCACUGGCCCGGUACUGACGCUGAGGCACGAAAGCGUGGGGAGCAAACAGGG